rnacentral:rRNA from 1 species
AUUGUAGAGUCUACAAUUUAUUUAAAUGGUAGACCCUACUAUUUAAUUAAAUAGUAGACCCUACAAUUUAUUUAAAUGGUAGACCCUAUUGUUUAUUUAAAUGGUAGAGCCUACUGUUUAUUUAAAUUGUAGCGGCUUGGAUGUUGGGCGUUGCUGUGUCUUACAGCUCGCUUUAAAUAAAUGAGCCAUCUUUAUAUUAUUCGGAUUGACUCGGCGUGAUAAGAUCUUCGUCGAGGACGCUGUACACAGCGGCCGAAAAAUAUUAGAGUAGCUUCUAACCCGCCUUACCGCAAUUUAUUUUAGACCUCAAAUCAGGUGGGACUACC